rnacentral:rRNA from 1 species
UACGGAGGGGGCUAGCGUUGUUCGGAAUUACUGGGCGUAAAGCGCACGUAGGCGGCUUUGUAAGUUAGAGGUGAAAGCCCGGGGCUCAACUCCGGAAUUGCCUUUAAGACUGCAUCGCUAGAAUUGUGGAGAGGUAAGUGGAAUUCCGAGUGUAGAGGUGAAAUUCGUAGAUAUUCGGAAGAACACCAGUGGCGAAGGCGACUUACUGGACACAUAUUGACGCUGAGGUGCGAAAGCGUGGGGAGCAAACUGG